ACCAACAGGGCAGCGCAAGGCCCACCCGCACAGUCUGGGUGGGAAACGAGGUGGAGGUCAGCGAGUUUUCUGCGGAUGCCUCCAGGUGUGGGCGACACCUACCCGCCGCGUCUCCGUCAGAAGAGGUGCGGGAAGUCCAGCGAUAAACCCCAGCGGCAACGCGGGAAUAAGGCCGGACCCGUCACAAA
rnacentral:ncRNA from 1 species